UGGUCCCUGCAACCUGGAAUUGGAUCUCAUAUGAGGUGGUGGAAGAUGAAGAUGAUGACUGUGUAGAGUUAAUUUGCAUAGUGGAUUCGAUGGAAGUUAUAGAGAUCUCUUCAGACACGGAGAUCGAGGAAGACCCGAGUGAGGUUUCCAAUGCACCACCAGUCUAGCAGCUCAUUUCUUUCUUUUGAUAGGGAACAUGUGUAGGGUACUUUUGUUAUGACAACGCCCCCGA
rnacentral:lncRNA from 1 species